rnacentral:rRNA from 1 species
UGGGGAAUAUUGCACAAUGGGCGCAAGCCUGAUGCAGCCAUGCCGCGUGUGUGAAGAAGGCCUUCGGGUUGUAAAGCACUUUCAGCGAGGAGGAAGGUGGUGAACUUAAUACGUUCAUCAAUUGACGUUACUCGCAGAAGAAGCACCGGCUAACUCCGUGCCAGCAGCCGCGGUAAUACGGAGGGUGCAAGCGUUAAUCGGAAUUACUGGGCGUAAAGCGCACGCAGGCGGUUUGUUAAGUCAGAUGUGAAAUCCCCCGGGCUCAACCUGGGAACUGCAUUUGAAACUGGCAAGCUAGAGUCUCGUAGAGGGGGGUAGAAUUCCAGGUGUAGCGGUGAAAUGCGUAGAGAUCUGGAGGAAUACCGGUGGCGAAGGCGGCCCCCUGGACGAAGACUGACGCUCAGGUGCGAAAAGGCGUGGGGAGCAAAACAGGAUUAGAUACCCCUGGUAGUCCACGCUGUAAAACGAUGUCGAUUUUGGAGGUUGUGCCCUUGAGGCGUGGCUUCCGGAGCUAACGCGUUAAAUCGACCGCCUGGGGAGUACGGCCGCAAGGUUAAAACUCAAAUGAAUUGACGGGGUC